rnacentral:misc_RNA from 1 species
AAGUCGUAACAAGGUUUCCGUCGCGGAAUACUGGAUCGUGUAAUCUCAUUGCUCACUCUUUCCUUUUAACUAAGUAACCCUUUCCUUUAACCGGGAAGGUUAUCUUCAGUGUCCUUCCAAAACACCUAUAGAAGCCUUACACUGCGACUUUAAAGAAAAGUGCAGUCUUGAUUUACAAUCAGGGCAACGCUUCCAGUUUGCUGGAAAACUCCUUCAUUGGAAACCAGCAGCCAUACUGUCAAUACUGCAGUACGGCUCACAGAUCAAACUGAAGCGGUUAGACGUUUAACUAUGUUUAAUGGAGAUAUGACCGAGUCUUAUCCUGGAAGGGGUAAGAGACGAACGUUCCGUAGGUGAACCUGCGGAAGGAUCAUUACUGAGUUAGGGGUUCUUUUAGGCCCCGAUCUCCAACCAUUUGUUAAAUCUACCUUUGUUGCUUUGGCCGGCCCGUCUUUCGGGACCGCCGGAGGGAUUCAGUUACCUCUGGUCCGCUGCCGGCCAGUAGCCCAAUUAAUUCUUCUUAACCAUGUCGUCUGAUAAUUAAUCAAUUUAAUUAAAA